UUGCUUGGAAAUCCAAAUAGACGUGGCUUUAAGUUGUCUGUUGUCUGGUGCUGAUGGCUAAAUGUGAGCUCUUCCUUACAGGUGUAGGGUCAAGGGACAGACGAAAUUCUUUGAGGUCAAGAAGAAAAUGGACAGUACUGUCACAGGGAGCUGGGCUCCAAACAACAAUCCUGCCUCUUCUGCUGUGAAGAGCUCCUGUCACCCAAAUCUGAAGGUACUGCACUUUGAAGGUGGAGAAAAUAGCUUGGCGCCACCAAUUUUAUGACCCUGGCUUAAUAGAAAGGUGUGGAUGGGUUGUCGCUGUCUUCAGGAAACACAGAGGCAGACUCUGAACAGCAGAGAAAACCCUACAAUCAGUGUUCUUUAAAAAAAGAAAGGUCAUCAAAUUUUCAUGGUCAUUUUAUAUACUACACUCACACAGAGGUGAUAGAUCACCUUUAUUGUCACAUGCACUGGUACGUACACACACACACGUUUUCUUUUCUGCCUUUAACUCAUUCCUGAGUAGCAGUAUAGCACUCAGGGAACAGUUAGGGGUUAAUGUCACUAAUAGGGCUUUUCUAUCGGGCAGGAGCUGGAGCUAACUUGGAGCUAGCAGGUGUUUUAGCUACGAUUCUUUUUGUAUCCACCAACAGAGCUCCAGCUCUCGCAGCUAAAAACUGGAGCUUAGCUGACCCCAACUAGCUGCUGCACCAGGGCACAACUCCAAAGUGGGUGGGAGGAAGGAUGGCGGAAGGCGGGGUUGUUAUAAGUGUCUUGCAAGAAACAUUGAAGCCAUUUUCUUUUGACUUGACUCAAGUUCAUAAUGAAAAAUCUAAUAUAAACGAUAAUACAAGCAAAUGGAAAAUAAAGUUGUCAAGCAGCAGUGGAGUGAGGAGGAGACUCGAUGCUUCGUGGCACUUUGGUGCAAUGAGUAGGUGGAGGACAAACUGAAUUCUGCCACCCAGACCAAGCUCGUAUUCGAGCGGCUGCAGCGGGAGAUGCCGGCCGCCCGGUUCACCCGUACGGUGCAUCAGCUAAUUAAUAAGCUGAGGGAGGACUUCAGAGACCAGAAGCAGGAGCUGGAGUGCAGAGGAAGGGUGGUGAGCCCACAUUUUGAGAUGCUGAACACCGUGCUCGGAGACCGCCCGGCCAAGAUGUCGACCGGGGCAAUGUGCUCUCCUCACGUUUCCACGCUAGAGGCAACUGCAACAGAACCCGACUCGUCUGUGAACAUGGAUUGUUCUGUGCCAUGGGCAGCAUCUCUAGGACCGUCAUGCAGCACGCCCCUUCCCAGCCCCUCCACCAGCUCAUCAAUUGAAUUAUACGCUGCUGCUAUUGAUACUUAGACAAUGUAAGAGGAAGCGGUACUCGAUUGGCUAAAUCCUGCAGUACAUGGAAAGGUCCGAGGAGAUGUUCGGACUGGAAGGCAGGGAG
rnacentral:lncRNA from 1 species